UAUCAUAAAAAUCAUCAAAAAAACAUCAUUAGAAGGUUCCACUCUUGAACAUAUAGGUUGGCAAUCACAUGUCGCCAUUGUAAUCCUUUCAGAUUACUAAUAAUCAAAAAUCGCCAAUUAAGGUUGUCAUUGUAAUCCCUCCGGAUUACUAUACUCAAAAUUAUUGUUUAAAAAAAAUAUUUAUUUUCCAUCAAAAAGGGUAAA
rnacentral:lncRNA from 1 species